GUAGCUUGCUUCUCGCUGACGAGCGGCGGACGGGUGAGUAAUACUUAGGAAUCUACCUAGUAGUGGGGGAUAGCUCGGGGAAACUCGAAUUAAUACCGCAUACGACCUACGGGAGAAAGGGGGCAACUUGUUGCUCUCGCUAUUAGAUGAGCCUAAGUCGGAUUAGCUAGAUGGUGGGGUAAAGGCCUACCAUGGCGACGAUCUGUAGCUGGUCUGAGAGGAUGAUCAGCCACACCGGGACUGAGACACGGCCCGGACUCCUACGGGAGGCAGCAGUGGGGAAUAUUGGACAAUGGGGGAAACCCUGAUCCAGCCAUGCCGCGUGUGUGAAGAAGGCCUUUUGGUUGUAAAGCACUUUAAGCAGUGAAGAAGACUCCAUGGUUAAUACCCAUGGACGAUGACAUUAGCUGCAGAAUAAGCACCGGCUAACUCUGUGCCAGCAGCCGCGGUAAUACAGAGGGUGCAAGCGUUAAUCGGAAUUACUGGGCGUAAAGGGAGCGUAGGUGGCUCGAUAAGUCAGAUGUGAAAUCCCCGGGCUCAACCUGGGAACUGCAUCUGAUACUGUUGAGCUAGAGUAUGUGAGAGGAAGGUAGAAUUCCAGGUGUAGCGGUGAAAUGCGUAGAGAUCUGGAGGAAUACCGAUGGCGAAGGCAGCCUUCUGGCAUAAUACUGACACUGAGGCUCGAAAGCGUGGGUAGCAAACAGGAUUAGAUACCCUGGUAGUCCACGCCGUAAACGAUGUCUACUAGUCGUUGGGUCCCUUGAGGACUUAGUGACGCAGCUAACGCAAUAAGUAGACCGCCUGGGGAGUACGGCCGCAAGGUUAAAACUCAAAUGAAUUGACGGGGGCCCGCACAAGCGGUGGAGCAUGUGGUUUAAUUCGAUGCAACGCGAAGAACCUUACCUGGUCUUGACAUAUCUAGAAUCCUGCAGAGAUGCGGGAGUGCCUUCGGGAAUUAGAAUACAGGUGCUGCAUGGCUGUCGUCAGCUCGUGUCGUGAGAUGUUGGGUUAAGUCCCGCAACGAGCGCAACCCUUGUCCUUAGUUACCAGCGGGUUAAGCCGGGAACUCUAAGGAUACUGCCAGUGACAAACUGGAGGAAGGCGGGGACGACGUCAAGUCAUCAUGGCCCUUACGACCAGGGCUACACACGUGCUACAAUGGUAGGUACAGAGGGCAGCUACACAGCGAUGUGAUGCGAAUCUCAAAAAGCCUAUCGUAGUCCGGAUUGGAGUCUGCAAC
rnacentral:rRNA from 1 species